rnacentral:tRNA from 1 species
GUCUCGGUAGUCUAAAGGCUUAGGACGCUCUCACGGAAUGCAAGAGAUCCGGGUUCGACUCCCGGCCGAGGCA